UACGUAGGGGGCGAGCGUUGUCCGGAUUUAUUGGGCGUAAAGAGCGUGUAGGCGGCCAGGUAGGUCUGCUGUGAAAACUCGAGGCUCAACCUCGAGACGUCGGCGGAAACCAUCUGGCUAGAGUCCGGAAGAGGCGAGUGGAAUUCCUGGUGUAGCGGUGAAAUGCGCAGAUAUCAGGAAGAACACCAAUGGCGAAAGCAGCUCUCUGGGACGGUACUGACGCUGAGACGCGAAAGCGUGGGGAGCGAACAGG
rnacentral:rRNA from 1 species